rnacentral:rRNA from 1 species
UACGAAGGGGGCUAGCGUUGCUCGGAAUCACUGGGCGUAAAGGGCGCGUAGGCGGCCAUUCAAGUCGGGGGUGAAAGCCUGUGGCUCAACCACAGAAUUGCCUUCGAUACUGUUUGGCUUGAGUUUGGUAGAGGUUGGUGGAACUGCGAGUGUAGAGGUGAAAUUCGUAGAUAUUCGCAAGAACACCAGUGGCGAAGGCGGCCAACUGGACCAAUACUGACGCUGAGGCGCGAAAAGCGUGGGGAGCAAACAGG